GAUUAACGCUGGCGGCGUGCCUAACACAUGCAAGUCGAGCGGCAGCGAGUUUUACACUGAAUUCUGGAAGCUUCUAGUUGAAAGAGAAGAUUUAUUCAAGAAUUUUGUGUAAAAUGUCGGCGAGCGGCGGACGGCUGAGUAACGCGUGGGAACGUACCCCAAAGUGAGGGAUAACGCAUCGAAAGGUGUGCUAAUACCGCAUAUGGUCUUCGGAUUAAAGCCUUCGGGCGCUUUGGGAACGGCCUGCGUAAGAUUAGAUAGUUGGUGGGGUGAUGGCCUACCAAGUCGACGAUCUUUAACUGGUUUGAGAGGAUGAUCAGUCAGACUGGAACUGAGACACGGUCCAGACUCCUACGGGAGGCAGCAGUGAGGAAUCUUCCACAAUGGGCGAAAGCCUGAUGGAGCAACGCCGCGUGCAGGAUGAAGGCCUUCGGGUUGUAAACUGCUUUUAUAAGUGAGGAUUAUGACAGUAACUUAUGAAUAAGGAUCGGCUAACUACGUG
rnacentral:rRNA from 1 species